CAGUAGCCACGGUAAUACGUAGGUCCCGAGCGUUGUCCGGAUUUAUUGGGCGUAAAGGGAGCGCGGGCGGUUUAGUAAGUCUGAAGUUAAAGGCAUUGGCUCAACCAAUGUAUGCUUUGGAAACUGUUAGACUUGAGUGCAGAAGGGGAGAGUGGAAUUCCAUGUGUAGCGGUGAAAUGCGUAGAUUUAUGGAGGAACACCAACGGCGAAAGCACUCUGCUGGGCCGACACUGACACUGAGAGACGAAAGCUAGGGGAGCAAAUGGGAUUAGAUACCCCGGUAGUCCCUGUCUCUUAUACC
rnacentral:rRNA from 1 species